rnacentral:rRNA from 1 species
GACGAACGCUGGCGGCGUGCUUAACACAUGCAAGUCGAACGGAAAGGCCCUGCUUUUGUGGGGUGCUCGAGUGGCGAACGGGUGAGUAACACGUGAGUAACCUGUCCCUGACAUUGGGAUAACUUCAGGAAACUGGGGCUAAUACCGGAUAGGAGCUCCUGCUGCACGGUGGGGGUUGGAAAGUUUCGGCGGUUGGGGAUGGUCUCGCGGCUUAUCCGCUUGUUGGUGGGGUAGUGGCUUACCAAGGCUUUGACGGGUAGCCGGCCUGAGAGGGUGACCGGCCACAAUGGGACUGAGAUACGGCCCAGACUCCUACGUGAGGCAGCAGUGGGGAAUAUUGCACAAUAGGCGGAAGCCUGAUGCAGCAACGCCGCGAGCGGGAUAACGGCCUUCGAGUUGUAAACCGCUUUCGCAUGUGACGAAGCGUGAGUGACGGUAAUGGGUAAAGAAGCACCGGCUAACUACGUG